GUAGAGAUGAAUGAAUAGUGAUAACAUGGCCAAUGCCCCACACAUGGUUGAGUUAGGUACAGUAUAGCAGCUUAUAUUUUGAAGGAGUUUUGGUAGGUUAGCAUGUUCCAUAAGCAAGGGUGGAUCUUAUUGGCCCACCUUUGACAUGUCUAAAGGUGGUGCCAUUAAAGCUUAGCCUUCGUUUUCUACGUUAUGUUCAAUUAGGUCAGUUUACCUUGGCGUUAGUUUAUAGAUAUUUCAUUCAGCAUAGCAUAUUACUUUGGUAACGUGAGAUUCUAGGUUACACUAUCCCUCAGCUCUGGCUUUAGUUACGUGAUUAGGUGUGUUUCGUUCUGGG